AUACUUACCUGGCAGGAGAAAUACCGUAAUCACGAAGGUGGUUUUCCCAGGGCGAGGCGUAUCCUCAAAUGUGGGAGACUCAACCACAUAAUUUGUGGUAGUGGGGAACUGUGUUUGCGCUCUCUCCUG
rnacentral:snRNA from 1 species